rnacentral:rRNA from 1 species
GCUAAUACCGCAUAAUAUUAAUUAUUGCAUGAUAAUUGAUUGAAAGAUGCAAGCGCAUCACUAGUAGAUGGACCUGCGUUGUAUUAGCUAGUUGGUAAGGUAAGAGCUUACCAAGGCGACGAUACAUAGCCGACCUGAGAGGGUGAUCGGCCACACUGGGACUGAGACACGGCCCAGACUCCUACGGGAGGCAGCAGUAGGGAAUCUUCGGCAAUGGACGAAAGUCUGACCGAGCAACGCCGCGUGAGUGAAGAAGGUUUUCGGAUCGUAAAGCUCUGUUGUAAGUCAAGAACGUGUGUGAGAGUGGAAAGUUCACACAGUGACGGUAGCUUACCAGAAAGGGACGGCUAACUACGUGCCAGCAGCCGCGGUAAUACGUAGGUCCCGAGCGUUGUCCGGAUUUAUUGGGCGUAAAGGGAGCGCAGGCGGUCAGGAAAGUCUGGAGUAAAAGGCUAUGGCUCAACCAUAGUGUGCUCUGGAAACUGUCUGACUUGAGUGCAGAAGGGGAGAGUGGAAUUCCAUGUGUAGCGGUGAAAUGCGUAGAUAUAUGGAGGAACACCAGUGGCGAAAGCGGCUCUCUGGUCUGUCACUGACGCUGAGGCUCGAAAGCGUGGGUAGCGAACAGGAUUAGAUACCCUGGUAGUCCACGCCGUAAACGAUGAGUGCUAGGUGUUAGGCCCUUUCCGGGGCUUAGUGCCGGAGCUAACGCAAUAAGCACUCCGCCUGGGGAGUACGACCGCAAGGUUGAAACUCAAAGGAAUUGACGGGGGCCCGCACAAGCGGUGGAGCAUGUGGUUUAAUUCGAAGCAACGCGAAGAACCUUACCAGGUCUUGACAUCCCGAUGCUAUUCUUAGAGAUAGGAAGUUACUUCGGUACAUCGGAGACAGGUGGUGCAUGGUUGUCGUCAGCUCGUGUCGUGAGAUGUUGGGUUAAGUCCCGCAACGAGCGCAACCCUUAUUGUUAGUUGCCAUCAUUAAGUUGGGCACUCUAGCGAGACUGCCGGUAAUAAACCGGAGGAAGGUGGGGAUGACGUCAAAUCAUCAUGCCCCUUAUGACCUGGGCUACACACGUGCUACAAUGGUCGGUACAACGAGUUGCGAGCCGGUGACGGCAAGCUAAUCUCUGAAAGCCGAUCUCAGUUCGGAUUGGAGGCUGCAACUCGCCUCCAUGAAGUCGGAAUCGCUAGUAAUCGCGGAUCAGCACGCCGCGGUGAAUACGUUCC